GUCCACGCCGUAAACGUUGGGCACUAGGUGUGGGGCGCUAUCGACGCGUUCCGUGCCGUAGCUAACGCAUUAAGUGCCCCGCCUGGGGAGUACGGCCGCAAGGCUAAAACUCAAAGGAAUUGACGGGGGCCCGCACAAGCGGCGGAGCAUGUGGCUUAAUUCGAUGCAACGCGAAGAACCUUACCUGGGUUGAACUAUGCAGGAAAAACCAUAGAGAUAUGGUGUCCUUCGGGGCCUGUGAUAGGUGGUGCAUGGCUGUCGU
rnacentral:rRNA from 1 species